rnacentral:lncRNA from 1 species
UCACGGGCGACGGUGAGCCGCAGUUCAUCUCUUCCAUGUCGCAGACCUGCUUAAUGGGCGACGUCAUUUUUAUCAAAAGCUGAGCUUGUAAUGGUUGCAGGGUUGCCCUCUCCCUCUCUGGCGCUGGCUUGAUCCCAAGCCGAGCGCCUACAUGCGUGAUCUUCUUGUGGGGCUUCGCGACAGGAUCCGUGUGCUGGAGGAGGAGAACGAUGUACUCCGCAGUCCCGCCUUCCGAGGCAACGUUUCUGACCAACACCAUGACCGGCGUUGGGGGUGCCGUCUAGGCGCCGCUUUGGUCUUGGUGCUGUUAUUCGCUCUAGCUGGCUUUGCCUCCCGCCUACCGGUGGUCUGAUGUCAGUUCUUGCUAUGGUUUGUCUCGCGCAUCCCGAUGUUUCCUAUUCCUGUUGUAGCAGUCAUUGCUACGAGUAUGGUUAUGUUGUUACUUGUGUGCCGUUGAUCUAAGAUUAUGUCAGUAGUCUUUGCUGUUAGCUUAUUGGAAGGAAAUGUUGACGUAGUCAACUCAUUGGUGUGGGUCUAUUUCAUCGCAGGCAAACAUGUGAUGCGGGCCGGCCCUUGGUCAGCAAAAAUUCAAAAAAUGUGAAUAGCAAGGUUAAGAAACAUAUAUCUGUGUCAUCGAUACGCAUGCAGUGCCUAGUUUCGGGACGUCUGACGCCUAUUGCUCUGUAGGCAACAUGUGAUUGAUACGCAUUGCUAUGCAUGCAUGAUCCUUCAUUGCAU